rnacentral:rRNA from 1 species
AUUGAACGCUGGCGGCAUGCCUUACACAUGCAAGUCGAACGGUAACAGGUCUUCGGAUGCUGACGAGUGGCGAACGGGUGCGUAAUACGUCGGAACGUGCCCGAUCGUGGGGGAUAACGAAGCGAAAGCUUUGCUAAUACCGCAUAAGAUCUACGGAUGAAAGCAGGGGACCGCAAGGCCUUGCGCGAACGGAGCGGCCGAUGGCAGAUUAGGUAGUUGGUGGGAUAAAAGCUUACCAAGCCGACGAUCUGUAGCUGGUCUGAGAGGACGACCAGCCACACUGGGACUGAGACACGGCCCAGACUCCUACGGGAGGCAGCAGUGGGGAAUUUUGGACAAUGGGCGAAAGCCUGAUCCAGCCAUGCCGCGUGCAGGAUGAAGGCCUUCGGGUUGUAAACUGCUUUUGUACGGAACGAAAAGACUCUGGUUAAUACCUGGGGUCCAUGACGGUACCGUAAGAAUAAGCACCGGCUAACUACGUG